CAUGCAGUCGAGCGGUAGCACAGAGAGCUUGCUCUCGGGUGACGAGCGGCGGACGGGUGAGUAAUGUCUGGGAAACUGCCUGAUGGAGGGGGAUAACUACUGGAAACGGUAGCUAAUACCGCAUAACGUCGCAAGACCAAAGUGGGGGACCUUCGGGCCUCAUGCCAUCAGAUGUGCCCAGAUGGGAUUAGCUAGUAGGUGGGGUAAUGGCUCACCUAGGCGACGAUCCCUAGCUGGUCUGAGAGGAUGACCAGCCACACUGGAACUGAGACACGGUCCAGACUCCUACGGGAGGCAGCAGUGGGGAAUAUUGCACAAUGGGCGCAAGCCUGAUGCAGCCAUGCCGCGUGUAUGAAGAAGGCCUUCGGGUUGUAAAGUACUUUCAGCGAGGAGGAAGGCAUUAAGGUUAAUAACCUUGGUGAUUGACGUUACUCGCAGAAGAAGCACCGGCUAACUCCGUGCCAGCAGCCGCGGUAAUACGGAGGGUGCA
rnacentral:rRNA from 1 species